rnacentral:tRNA from 1 species
UCUCUGGUGGUCCAGUGGUUAGGACUCUGGGCUUUCACUGCUGAGGGCCUGGGGUCAAUUCCUGGUCGGGGAA